rnacentral:lncRNA from 1 species
GGGCCCAGGAAGGGCAGAAGUCCCUGGCUAAGCUCCUCUCUGGAAAGAACAGAAGAGUGACCAGUUCCUCUGUCAGUUUGGUCUCAAUGGCAGAGGCCGGUUCCUUUAAGCUGCAGUCCGUAAAGGGUCUUGGAACGACUGGGGGCCAGGAUUCUCUGAGGGCGGGAAUCCGGGCGGCCGUCAGCUCUCGGUGGUGAUCGAGGCCACGCUCCGCCUGUCUCUGGGCGUGCAUACCUCGGUUUCCCCGUUUGUGACGUGGGAAGGCAAUUAGUCUGGACAUUGUUGUGGGAGGACUUGCGGAGACUGGGCGCAGGGCGUGGGGGUCAGUGAGGGCGCGGUGGGUCAGCCCCAGCCCGGCUGGCAGUCGCGGGGCUGGGAAGGUAGGGAACCCUCCGCUCUCACCCCACUUCCUGUUUGGUCGGUGUGUUCUGUGACCAUAGAUGGUCAAGUCUGGGGCCGCGCGGAAGCCUCCGCCCUGUGGUUUUGGAGCCCUUCCUCCCGGCGCGCAGGGUGUGGUCCCCGAGAAUAAGAUGAGCAGAAUUAAAGCAGAUCCUGCACCCACUCUGCUGAAAUCCGGCUUCUGAGGCAGCCUCGCCCAGGGCUGGGUGGGCUCAGGCGGCUGCUACUCGGUUCAGGGGAGGUUACGCACGGUGGCUGCCGCGCGCAGGGGAGGCUUCGCUUCCGUACUCCUUGGGCCGGGAGAUCCGAUCUUUGUUCCCUCAAGACUCACACUCUCCAACCGGUCAUUAUCCUCCCACAAAGAUUUAUUUCUAGAAAAAAUUGGCAAGUGCCACAGUUCCCGCCCCUUCAGCUGAACGACUGUGACAGCUCCGUGUUUCAAGUUGAAUGCAGGCGUUAUGUGCCAGAGUCAAUCAUUCAACAAAUAAAGUUCUUAAAAUAACAGCUACCAUUUACUGCACGCUGACUACUUGCCAGGCCCAUGCUGAGUUCUUCAAGCGUAUUUUCAUUUACUCCUAAUAGCAACUCUCGGUGGUAGGUACCAUUAUGCCCUCUAGUUUUCAAAUGAGGAAGCUGAAUAACUUGCCAAGGUCAGAAAGUAACUGUUGAAACUUUGAAGGAAACACAUCUGUCUGACUCUAAAUCCCAUGAGCUUAAUUAGCCCCUGUGAUAGACCAUACUGCAGACAUUUGAGGCAGAUUUGAGGUGGUGAAUGCCUCUGGAUCUGGAGACACUGGGUUCCAGUGCUGGCAUAGGCCCUCUACUAGGGGUCAGACUUUGGUCAGGUUACUUUGGACGGGUUACUGGGCCUCUUCCUAACUUUAUGGCUCCCAGCAUGUUUAAAAGAACAUGACAACAUGAAAAAAUAUGGUAUAAAAGUCAUAGUAUAUUUUAAAUAUUGACAUUUAACUAAAAACACUGUCUCACACACACACAAACUCUAACUUUAUUUGGACAUAAUCUUUGACUCUGCAUUUAGUUAUUCUAAAUCUCUUUCUGGAUUAGAGACAGAAGGAACAUAGACCAUACACGCAUUCUAGAGGAAGAGGAGAGAGAAGAGGAAGCAGGAAGGAGAAUGAAGAAAGUUUCCUCAUCAGUCUCUCUUGCAGAUAACUAUGGCCGUGUGCCUGAGAUCUGGCCAAUGGAAUC